CCCGAGACAACACCCAGUCAGCCGCAUGGAACAAGGGCAGCAGUGUGCGAACCCCUUACAAAACGAAGAAGUUCUAGAGUCACAGGUCAGUACACACAUUGCUGGUCGUAUAUCAAAGUAUAUUGAAGACUUGUAAGACCUGACAUCAGAUCCUUAUAUUCUUGACAUUGUUAAAGGAUAUAAAAUUGAAUUUAUUGAAGUUCCAUCUCAAAUAAGGGCUAGACCCACUAUUGCUAAUAAGCGCGAUUCUGAGAUAAUUGACGAUCUCAUUCUUUCCUUCGAAAAGAAGGGCAUAAUUCGAAAAACUAGUCAUUGUGAUGGUGAAUUUAUAUCUACGAUUUUCACGGUACCCAAAUCUGAUGGAUCGUUUCGACUUACUCUAAAUCUUAAAGAUCUCAAUGAAUUUGUCGUGUACAAACAUUUUAAAAUGGAACAUUUGCAAUCGGUGCUAAAUAUAAUGACUCAAAAUUGUUAUAUGGCUAAAAUUGAUUUAAAAGACGCAUACUACACGGUUAAUGUUCACCAAGAAUUUAGAAAAUUUAUGAGAUUUAUUUGGAAGGGCAAUGUGAUGGAAUACACAUGUCUGGCGAUGGGACUAAGUUCAGCACCAAGAAUUUUUACAAAGUUAUUAAAGCCUGUAUUUGCUUCGUUAAGAUCAAAGGGUUUUAUCUCUGUUGUUUACAUUGACGAUGUGUAUUUACAGGGUGCAACGUUUAAAGAAUGUGCAGAAAAUGUGUCUUACACUUGUGAUCUUUUGAAAAAAUUGGGAUUUAUCAUACAUGAAGAGAAGUCAAUUUUUAAACCAACGCAAUCAUUUGCGUUUUUAGGUUUUGAACUUGAUUCUGUUGAAAUGACGAUCAGUCUGACAGAUAGGAAGAAAGAUACUUUGCGACAAAAGAUCAAGUUUAUUCAACAAAAUUCGUACACAAUCCGCGAUAUUUCAGAACUUUUGGGUUUAUUAACAGCUUAUUCAGUGGCAAUACCUUAUGGAAUGUUGUUUUCUAAAACGAUUGAAAUAGAGAAGAUUGAAGCAUUGUCAAAAAGUUUUGGAAAUUUUGAUUCUCGAAUGAAAUUAUCAGAGAGGGCGUAUAAUGAUAUGAUGUGGUUUUAUGACACUGUGUUAAACGUUUGUGCUCCGAUAAGGCGUGUCAAUCCUCAGGUUGAAAUGUGCACUGAUGCAUCGUUAUCUGGAUGGGGUGCAGUAUUAGGUGAUUCUAAAACUGGGGGUAAUUGGAUGGAAUCAGAGGUUUCAUUUGCCCCGAAUAUUAAUUACUUAGAAUUGUAUGCAAUCCUCUUAGGAUUAAAGAGUUUUUUAUCAAAUCUUUGUGGAAAACAUGUUAAGAUUCAUAUUGACAAUUCAACUGCUGUUGCUUGUAUCAACCAUUUCGGGUCAACUAGAUCUUCAAAAUGCAAUGAUAUUACUAGGGAAAUUUGGUUAUUAGCUAAAGCCAAUAACAUCUGGAUUUCAGCGGUUUAUUUACCUGGUAAAGAUAACAUUGAGGCGGAUUUUGAGAGUCGAAAAAUUAGAGACGAUACAGAAUGGAUGUUAAAUUCAGACAUAUUUCAUGCAUUGUGUAAAAGAUUAUUUAUUCCAAGUGUUGAUUUAUUUGCAUCUCGUAUAAACACUCAGUUAAAAAACUAUGUUUCGUGGAAUCCAGACAUAGGAUCUUUUGCCUUUGAUGCAUUUACAAUUAAUUGGCAACAGUUUUCUAAAAUUUAUGCAUUUCCUCCUUUCAGUAUUAUAGACAGAGUAUUACAGAAAAUAAAGCAAGACAGGGCCGAAGGAAUCUUAAUUGUUCCGUGUUGGGAAACACAGUUAUGGUUUCCAGUGCUAAUGAGAAUGUGUGUCGCUCCGCCCAUAAAGAUUCCGAACAGCACACGGACAUUGAAGUUACCGAAUCGCUUGUCUGUAUUUCAUCCCCUUCACAACAAGCUCCACCUUCUCGCUUGUCAUGUGUCCGGCAAAUAUACGAAGGACGUGGUUUAUCGGAGGAAUCAGUUUCAAUUAUUAUGAAGUCCUGGCGAAGUUCUACACAUAAACAGUAUGGCAUUUAUAUAAACAAAUGGUUUCAGUUCAUAGAUGGGAAAGUUGAUCGAACUGAUAAAGUUUCUGUGAACUUGCUUAUUUAGAUAGAACAAAAGUGUUUAGAAAUAAUGUUUCUCAAUUGUUAAUUUCAACUCAAAAGCCGUAUAAAGCGGUAUCUACAGAUACUUUAGCUAGAUGGCUUAAAUCAUGUUUACAGAACGCCAAGACAGACACCGAUAUUUAUAAGGCGCACAGCACUCGGGCGGCAUCUUCGAGUGCGGCGAAGUCAUCAGGUGUUCCAAUUACUACGAUCAUGGACAAUGUUGGUUGGACAUCUGCUCAGACUUUUGCGAAAUAUUAUGAUAAGAACAUUGAAAGUAAUGUCUGUUUCUCUUCAGGAAUUUUGUCAAAAUUGAAGAA